AUGGCCCAAGCCAUCGUGGAGAGGGCAUGCGCGAAGCUCAGAUCCGCCAUAGGAGAUGAAGCUGCGGUUGUCUCCAACUUCACCGGUGACCUGCGUGAUAUGUUGGAGAGGCUGCAGGCUAUCCAGUUCCAGCCGCUGCUGGAGGAAGCCGAGAUGCAGCUGUUGUGGGAUCCAGAGGUGGCGGAAUGGCUGCAGUGUGUCUUGAGCGCCGCCUACAAGGCCAUAGACACUGUAGACGAGCUGCACGAGGCGAGAUCACAGGCUGCUACAACGAUGACAAGGAUGUUGCCCCGCCUCGCCAUCAUGAAGAACGCCAUGGCCAUCCAGGUGCAGGAGACGAAAGAACUAGUGAUGCUGGCACAGCGGGGGUUCCCCGAAUCAUCAAACAAAUUGGCACGAGACACCAUGUUCCGGCUAAUUAUUAAGGAUGGAAAAAUUAGACCAGGUUUUGAGGAAGCAAUGGUUCUUGAAAGAGGAUCAGAUAAAGAGAGAACAAUAGCCGCUCUACUAUCUAGUGAGUCCAACAUCAUGCAAGAGCACAUCACCAUUCUUCCCAUCUUUGGGCUUGCAGGCAGCGGCAAGACAACCUUGGCACAAAUGGUGUUUAACGAUAACCACUGCCUCCAAUUGCAAGGCUACGACUUCCGGGUAUGGGUUUAUGUGUCUCCCCAGUUCGACUUCCAUGCAAUAGGCAACUCCAUUAUUUGUCACGUGUUGGAAAGGGGACAAGAAGAGAUCAACCAUGCCUCUUCAGACGUGGAGGGGAUGGAAAGUAUAAUGAAGUGCCUUCAUGAGCUACUCAAUGGUAAGAAGGUGCUCCUUGUUUUGGAUGACUUGUGGGAGGAGGAUCCCAUUCAGUUACAGUUGUUGAAGUCCAUGUUAACUUUCUUGGGAGACAAGAUGCACGUAAUAGUAACCACAUGCAACCAAGCCAUCGCCAGGAAGAUCUGUACCGUUGAGCCUUACAGGCUAAAUCCGCUAAGUGAUGAAACAUGCUGGGAAAUAAUCAAGAAGUCAAUCCGUUUUGAAGCAGGAGAAGAAGAGUUGGAGAAGAUUGGACGACAGAUCGCAAGCAAAUGCUGGGGUGUGCCAUCAAUAGCUCGAGAAUAUGCAUGCAUGCUAGGUUCUUCCCGAGAUGCUAACAAAUGGAAAGAACAUAUUGAACGGGGUUACUAUUCUUAUGUCCUUUCUACUUUCACGCUAAGCUACAUGAAAAUGCCACCAGAUUUGAGGCUAUGCUUUGCUUAUUAUUGUCAAAUCUUCCCAAGGGGGCAGAGUAUAGUCAAAGAUGACCUUGUUCAUCAGUGGAUCGCUCUCCACCCCACUGAGCCAUCUGAAAUAUUGUCUGCGGCACAUAUAGCUGAGGAGCAUAUUACCUGGCUUCAGGACAUGUCAUUCCUUCAAACUGCAGAGUUGGAACAUGCCAGUGGAACGGAGGAUAAGGGUGCAAUCUUGUUCACUAUGCACAAUCUGGUGCAUGACUACGUGACAACGUUUGCGAAACCUGGUAAAAGGUACAGUAGCAAUCUAAGGGCGAUGAGCUAUGUCGGUUGCAGAUAUAUGGAGUUUAGGAGUGACCUAUUUUCACGUAAUAAGGGGCUACGUGUGCUGAAACUAACGGGGAGCUCUGUGCUGAAGCUACCGAACUCCAUCUGGCAACUGAAGCACUUGGGGUAUCUUAAGAUAUCAGAAUUCUCUGGACUAGUAACUUUGCCUGAGUCAUUGGGGGAUCUGAUAAAUCUGAUCCACAUUGACUUAUCAGGCUGCUCCAGGCUACUAAACCUACCAGAGUCGUUUGGAAAGCUCAUCCGUCUAGUGCAUGCCAACCUGUCAGGCUGCUGUGAGCUACUAAACCUUCCUGAGUCAGUCGGCAAGCUUGUCAGUCUGGUGCACAUCGAUUUGUCAGGCUGCUCUGGUCUUGCAACUCUUCCUGAAUCAUUUGGCCAUCCCAUAAACUUGUCCCAUGUCAAUCUGUCACGCUGCCAUGGACUGGCAGAGCUUCCGGAACCGCUCCAGAAGCUCGGCAAACUGGUACACCUGGAUUUAUCAUUCUGGUCUUGUUUUCAAGGGAUUGGGGAACGCCUUGGAAGGCUCAUCCAUCUCGAGCAUUUGAACGUGUCGCACCCUUGCUGUCAUCUUCCUCAACACCGCUCUCAUCUCCACCAAGGGCUAAAGGAUGGUCUGUGCAAGCUCACCAACCUCCGGUAUCUAAACUUGUCAAUGUGCCUGAACCCUAUCUUUUACUACCACCAUUCACAAGAGGACAGUCUACAGUACAUUGCACAGUUUGUCGUCGGUCUUUCCAGUCUAGAGCACUUGGACCUGUCCCAUAACACAUUUCUUUUUGAACUUCCUGCAAGUCUAGGUGACCUGGACAAGCUACACACACUGGAUCUCUCAGGCUGCAUCAGACUGAAGAGAGUUGGUGAAAUGAAGUCUCUCAAAUUUAUAAAUCUGAGGAAGUCUCGGGGACUAGAGAGUUGCCACUUUGUGGUUCGCGUCGUCGAUGAUGACGAUGCAUAUAGGAGCAGCAACAUUGGUCAGCUGGAGGUUGUUGAUUGCCAAGAGCUCCAGAUAAGCUGCCUUGAGAAAGUGAGGUCUAGAGUAGAAGCACAGAGAAUCAAAAUGCCAAAGAAACAAAAUAUUGAAAAGUUGAAACUUUCUUGGACAUUGGACUCUGUCAGAGAAGUGGAGGAGUGUGCUUUGUUGAGGGAAUUAGUGCCACCACCAAAUCUGCAGUGCCUUGAGGUUAAUGGCUACGCCGGCACACGUCUCCCGGAGUACUUGGGUGAGCUCACCUCACUCAAGGAACUCAAGAUCGUCUACUGCAAACAGCUCAACUCGUUGCCAGAUAGCAUACAGAAACUCACCAACCUCAAAGAUCUGUGUAUUUUCGACUCUCCAAAACUUGAGAAAUGGUGUCAGGUUGAGGAGAACAAGAAAAUGCUGGCGCACAUCCCCAACAAAAAUUAUGAGGAACCUGCUAGUACUAGCAGGCAGGAGAUUAUUGAGGAUGAGACAUCGCGCAACGAGGUGGAGGCGGCGUAG
rnacentral:rRNA from 1 species